UUCGUAGGUGGCCAACUAAGUCAUACGUGAAAUCCCUCAGCUUAACUGGGGAACUGCGCCUGAUACUGGUUGGCUUGAGUGCAGGAGAGGAACGCGGAAUUCCAGGUGUAGCGGUGAAAUGCGUAGAUAUCUGGAGGAACACCGGUGGCGAAGGCGGCGUUCUGGACUGCAACUGACACUGAGGAACGAAAGCCAGGGGAGCAAACG
rnacentral:rRNA from 1 species